rnacentral:lncRNA from 1 species
GGUAAUGGGGUUAUAGGGGUAAUGGGGUUAUAGGGGGUAAUGGGGUUAUAGGGGUAAUGGGGUUAUAGGGGGUAAUGGGGUUAUAGGGGGUAAUGGGGUUAUAGGGGUAAUAGGGUUAUAGGGGGUAAUGGGGGCAAUGGGGGUAACCCUAUGUUACCCUAUGGUAACAUGUAAACCCUAUGUCCUCUAUUGGCUCAAUGGGGCUCUAUGGGGUCCCUAUGUUCUCUAUGGGGUCAAUGGGGCUCUAUGGGGUCUCUAUAUUAUCAAUGGGGCUCUAUGGGGUCUCUAUGGGGUCAAUGGGGCUCUAUGGGGUCCCUAUAUUAUCAAUGGGGCUCUAUCUAUGGGGUCUCUAUGUUCUCAAUGGGGCUGUAUCUAUGGGGUCUCUAUGGGGUUUGUUACCUUGUCUCCCCCCCGUGGCCGCGAUCCCGUCCACGUCCCGCAGGUCGGGCAGCCCAUGGAGCCCCAUAGAGACAGCGCCUGAAUGGGGGGGUGGGGAGAUGGGGGGCACACACUGACACACUCACCCUUACACACUCAUUUACACACUCAGUCACACACACACACUCACACUCACCCUUACACACUCAUUUACACACUCAUUUACACACUCACUUACACACUCAUUUACACACUCGUUGCUGUAUCUCACCCCUGUCCCCGCUCUGUCCCCGGUUCCUCCCGUUGUUCUGCCCCGAUCCCAGGAAGUCGAACUCAUUCAGGGCGUCCUCGGAGUCGUCGUCAUCAUCAUCAUCAUCUUCAUCUUCAUCAUCAUCGUCAUUGGCCGCCAUGUCCGGCAGCAGAGGAACAGGGGGGAGCUGGGGGGGAUAUGGGGGUGCAAUAGGGGAUAUAUGGGUCAAUGGGGGAUAAUGGGGUAGUAUGGGGGUAUUGGAGUCAAUUGUGGACAG